AUUUAUCCAGCAGUAGAUCCUUUAGAUUCAACCUCGACUAUGUUACAGCCUCGGAUCGUUGGCAACGAACAUUAUGAAACUGCGCAAAGAGUUAAGGAAACUUUACAACGUUACAAAGAACUUCAGGACAUUAUCGCAAUUCUUGGCUUGGAUGAAUUAUCGGAAGAGGAUCGUUUAACUGUAGCAAGAGCAAGAAAAAUUGAGCGUUUCUUAUCACAACCGUUCUUUGUGGCAGAAGUUUUUACUGGUUCUCCAGGAAAGUAUGUUGCUCUUGCGGAAACUAUUAGGGGAUUUCAACUAAUCCUUUCCGGAGAAUUAGACGGCCUACCUGAACAGGCUUUUUAUUUGGUGGGUAACAUCGAUGAAGCUAGCACGAAAGCUAUAACCUUAGAAGAGGAGAACAAAUCG
rnacentral:rRNA from 1 species